rnacentral:lncRNA from 1 species
CCAGGUUUUUGUUGUGAGCUGAUGCUUUGUUCACCCGUAUUGGCUUCCCAUAGAGUUUGAUCAUGUUCAUGAUCUUAAUGGCAUAGUCAGCAUCUUCCUCACUCAAGAAUUCCACAAAGCCAUAGCCUUGGUGCUGGCCAGUGACUCUAUCCUUUGGCAUGUGGGUGUUGACUACUGGUCCAGCCUGGAGAAACAGUUCCCACAGCAGCGGUUCACUAACCUUCUCAUCCAGGCCCC